CGAAGAACCUUAAUUAGGAAGGGAGGGGACAGAGGUUCCACUGGCUGUCCCCAGUGAGAGUCUUAAAGACACCUGCAGGCAAUCAGCUGUCCACACCGGGGAACACUGGACCAUUGCUCCUCGUCUCCACCCGCUGAAGUUAGCUCUCCAGAGCUAGCUCGCAUCCCCACACAGAAGAUCUGCGGCGCUCGCAGGUCCCGGGUCCGGCGCUCCUGGGGAGCCGCGGGGGCCGGGCGGACCACAGCGGAGCUGGGAACCCGGGGGCGAGCGUGCGGAGCCUUUCCAGGCGAAACGCAGCGCGAACCGCCCAGGCGGCGCCCAGCAUGGAGUGGAAGCUGAAUCUGCUGCUCUACCUCGCGCUCUUCUUCUUUCUGCUCUUCCUCCUGUUCCUCCUGCUCUUCGUGGUCAUCAAGCAGCUGAAGAACUCGGUGGCCAAUACGGCCGGGACCCUGCAACCCGGGCGCCUGUCCCUGCACCGGGAGCCGUGGGGUUUCAAUAACGAGCAAGCUGUGUGACCCAGCUGGCAGGGUUUCAGUUCCACCGGGAUUCAGAUUCUUAUGUGAUCUUCGUGGCUCCCCAAUAGAAGGAGGAAGCAGGGAGGAAAACAGAGUUUGCCUGUCCAAGUCCAUCUUCCUUCUAAAGAGUUUCCCGGGGACCAGGACAACGUCACAGGCCACUGUCUUUUAACAAUAUGGAUGCCGUUGCCUUCAAUCAAAACCCAAGCUCACUAGAUUAGGACAAAGAAUCCUGGGUGGACAAGAUCCAGAGGUCUGUGCUCUAGUACAAAGCACAGUUGUGCAGAAAGCAGUGUUCAAGAUGGAACUCCUGGUUCCCUCUCAGCCCCAAGCGAUGUGGCUGAGCAGAGUGACGAUGUCUCCCUAGUUCUCAAGAAAUGUUUGUCAGGACUGGCCUCCUCUCUGGUCAGCUGACUCCCCUGUCCCAGGAUUUCCUAGGCAUGUAGCCUGGAAGCCUUACAUUUGUGUGUGUUGGGGGAUCUGGAGGUUGAGGGAGUCUUCAUAAUCUCCUCACGGAACUUUGGUAACAGAUCAAUAUAGGUUGUUUUCUUUUGCUCCUGUUUGGUCCCCUCCAUUACAUUCCAGUUAAUUAAAUUUUGGUGGCAGCUAAGUUUGUGUAUUUGGUCCCUAUAAAGGCCAUUCCUUCCAUGCACAAGGAAAGGCACUCUGCUCAGAAAGGCUACCUCUCUUCCUUCCACCCUCGAUCCAGGAAUAUCCCGGGAGAUUGCCUCUCGAGCUGCUUCUACUCACAGCCUACGUACUGGCCAAGCCGAGGGAGAAGAAACACUUCCCACACCCAGAGAUGUGCAAAAGAACUUUCUGUGAUAUGAAACUGUUCUAUAUCUGUGGUGCCCGAUACGGCAACUACUAGUCACAUGUGUCUAGUAAACACUGAAAUAUGGCUAACGGGGCUUAGAUUUUAUUUAAUUUCACCCGAGACAGCCACUUGGGGCUGGUGGCUAUUGUAUGUACAGUUCACACCAUUCUUGUGUGUGUGUGUGUGUGUGUAUGUGUGUGUGUAUUUUUAGAGUCAAAGUGGGGAGGUGGCUGCUAGCCAUGGACUCCACAUCCCAUGGUCUUCAUUGUUUUUCUUGCUUUCAGUUUUUCUCCUUGAUGAAAAAGAAAGUCAGUAUGUUAGCUCUAAAUUGAGAAUGCUAUCAUCUACCUAUUGCAUGUCUUCUUGUACCAAAUGAGAUAGGUUUCAGUGAUAAUUGACCAUGGUAAAAAUGGAAGUGUUGAUUCACUACAUCUCCAUAUUCCCAGUCCUUGCCCCUGACCAAGGUCACAUUGUCCUAGGCACUUUAUUCCAUUUUAGUUCCCUUUUUAAUAUUGUGAAUCCCAAGCAAUUAUUGUAUAUGUUUUUCAAAAUACCUAAUGGUUUAUAUUUUUUAAGGUUGUAAAAUAAAAAUUGACAAUUACAUGUAACUCAGGUUUUGUGUGUAUGUGUGUCUGUGCAAUUUUUAGUAACUUACUACCCAAACUUUAUUGUAUUGAUUAGGAUAUGAAUAAAUGGAAAGUGAUAUUGA